GCGAACGCUGGCGGCAGGCCUAACCCAUGCCAGUCGAACGAACCUUUCGGGGUUAGUGGCGGACGGGUGAGUCACACGUGGGAACGUGCCUUUAGGUUCGGAAUAACUCAGGGAAACUUGUGCUAAUACCGAAUGUGCCCUUCGGGGGAAAGAUUUAUCGCCUUUAGAGCGGCCCGCGUCUGAUUAGCUAGUUGGUUGAGGUAAUGGCUCACCAAGGCGACGAUCAGUAGCUGGUCUGAGAGGAUGAUCAGCCACAUUGGGACUGAGACACGGCCCAAACUCCUACGGGAGGCAGCAGUGGGGAAUCUUGCGCAAUGGGCGAAAGCCUGACGCAGCCAUGCCGCGUGAAUGAUGAAGGUCUUAGGAUUGUAAAAUUCUUUCACCGGGGACGAUAAUGACGGUACCCGGAGAAGAAGCCCCGGCUAACUUCGUG
rnacentral:rRNA from 1 species